rnacentral:tRNA from 1 species
GGGCGAUUAGCUCAGUGGGAGAGCGCUACCUUGACACGGUAGAGGUCACUGGUUCAAUCCCAGUAUCGCCCACUA